CGCCUUCGUGUUGCCCGUUCGCCUUUACCCGCUGGCGGCCGUGGUGUCAAGCAAGGCGGACAUGGAGCGCUUGGCAGCCUUUUCCGGCCCGGAGGUUGGAUAUCUCCGACGCAGGACCUGCUCAAGCGACAGGC
ensembl:snoRNA SNORA13 small nucleolar RNA, H/ACA box 13